rnacentral:rRNA from 1 species
UGGGAUAAGCCUGGGAAACUGGGUCUAAUACCGGAUAGGACCAUGCUUUAGUGUGUGUGGUGGAAAGUUUUUUCGGUGUAGGAUGAGCCCGCGGCCUAUCAGCUUGUUGGUGGGGUAAUGGCCUACCAAGGCGGCGACGGGUAGCCGGACUGAGAGGUUGGUCGGCCACAUUGGGACUGAGAUACGGCCCAG